CUCAGGUUACUCUUGAAGGUUUGGAUGUUGGGGUAGUGAGUUCCAGUGUAGGGGAGAGGAAUAGAUAAGUUUUUACCAUGCACUGGUCAGGCAGAAAAAGAAUGGAGAGAUGAACACUUGCUUGACUGUAACAGCUGUAGAAGUAAAUGGAGGGAACCUGGAUGCAG